AUUGAACGCUGGCGGAAUGCUUUACACAUGCAAGUCGAACGGUAGAGGGGGCAACCCCUUGAGAGUGGCGAACGGGUGAGUAAUAUAUCGGAACGUGCCCAGUCGUGGGGAUAACGUAGCGAAAGUUACGCUAAUACCGCAUACGAUCUAAGGAUGAAAGCGGGGGGAUCGCAAGACCUCGCGCGAUUGGAGCGGCCGAUAUCAGAUUAGGUAGUUGGUGGGGUAAAGGCUCACCAAGCCAACGAUCUGUAGCUGGUCUGAGAGGACGACCAGCCACACUGGAACUGAGACACGGUCCAGACUCCUACGGGAGGCAGCAGUGGGGAAUUUUGGACAAUGGACGCAAGUCUGAUCCAGCCAUUCCGCGUGCAGGAUGAAGGCCCUCGGGUUG
rnacentral:rRNA from 1 species